rnacentral:rRNA from 1 species
ACUGCUCAGUAACACGUGGACAACCUGCCCUUAGGUUGGGUAUAAACCCGGGAAACUGGGUAUAAUACCCGAUAGGUCUCGAUUGCUGGAAUGCAUCGAGAUUUAAAGCUCCGGCGCCUAAGGAUGGGUCUGCGGCCUAUCAGGUAGUAGUGGGUGUAGCGUACCUACUAGCCUACGACGGGUACGGGUUGUGAGAGCAAGAGCCCGGAGAUGGAUUCUGAGACACGAAUCCAGGCCCUACGGGGUGCAGCAGGCGCGAAAACUUUACAAUGCUGGCAACAGCGAUAAGGGAACCUCGAGUGCCAGGUUACAAAUCUGGCUGUCGAGAUGCCUAAAAAGCAUUUCAUAGCAAGGGCCGGGCAAGACCGGUGCCAGCCGCCGCGGUAACACCGGCGGCUCGAGUGGUAACCGUUAUUAUUGGGUCUAAAGGGUCUGUAGCCGGCCGGAUAAGUCUCUUGAGAAAUCUGGCAGCUUAACUGUCAGGCUUUCAGGAGAUACUGUCUGGCUCGAGGCCGGGAGAGGUGAGAGGUACUUCAGGGGUAGGGGUGAAAUCUUGUAAUCCUUGAAGGACCACCAGUGGCGAAGGCGUCUCACCAGAACGGACCUGACGGCAAGGGACGAAAGCUAGGGGCACGAACCGGAUCAGAUACCCGGGUAGUCCUAGCCGUAAACGAUACUCGCUAGGUGUCGGCCACGGUGCGACCGUUGUCGGUGCCGUAGGGAAGCCGUGAAGCGAGCCACCUGGGAAGUACGGCCGCAAGGCUGAAACUUAAAGGAAUUGGCGGGGGAGCAC